AAGAAACCCAGGAAACCCUACAGUGAGACCCUGAAGAAGCCGGUGGGGAAGACGAAAGAGGAGCUGGCCCUGGAGAAGAAACGGGAGCUGGAGAAGCGACUGCAGGACGUCAGCGGGCAGCUCAACUCGGCCAAAAAACCCCCAAAAAAGGCCAACGAGAAGCCGGAGUCGGCGGCGGCGGCCGCGUCGCGUUUGAGCGCCUCCAGCUCCAGCUCGGACUCGAGCAGCUCUUCCUCCUCCUCCUCCUCCUCGGACACCAGCGACUCGGAUUCCGCCUGAAUUCCCACCCAAAAUCCUUGGAAAAAAACACAAAAAAAAUCCUGGCAAAAAAACUGAAGAAUUCCCGGGAAAAAACGUAAAAAAAACGGGGGAAAAAUGUAAAAAUUUGGGGGAAAAAUGUAAAAAUUUGGGGGAAAAAUGGGGUUUUUUUGGGGUGAAAAUGGGAUUUUUUUUUGAGGGGAAAAAUGGGAUUUAUUUGGGAGGUGGAGUUCCUGGAAAAAUGCCCAGAAAAAAAAUUCCUGGAAAAAAAUGAAAAAUUCCUGGAGAAAAUGGAAAAAUUUGAGGGAAAUAUGUAAAAAUUUGGGGGGAAAAUGGGAUUUUUUUUGAGAAAAAUGGGAAUUUUUGGGAGGGAAUGGAGAAUUGGAGGUGGAAUUCCUGGAAAAAUUCCCAGAAAAAAAUUCCUGGAAAAAAAGUGAAAAAUUCCUGGAGAAAAUAUAAAAAAUUGGGAAAAAAAUGUAAAAAAAUUGGGAAAAAAAGUAAAAAAAUUGAGAAAAAUGGGAUUUUUUGGGAGGGAAUGGAGAAUUGGAGGUGGAAUUCCUGGAAAAAUGCCCAGAAAGAAAAUUCCUGGAAAAAAAUGAAAAAUUCCUGGAGAAAAUGGAAAAAUUUGAGGGAAAUAUGUAAAAAUUUGGGGGGGAAAUGGGAUUUUUUUUGAGAAAAAUGGGAAUUUUUGGGAGGGAAUGGAGAAUUGGCGGUGGAAUUCCUGGAAAAAUUCCCAGAAAAAAAAAUCCUGGAAGAAAAUGAAAAAUUGCUGGAGAAAAUGAGAAAAUCUGGGAAAAAAUGGGAUUUUUUUUGAGGAAAAAUGGAAUUUUGGGGGAAAAAUGGGAGGGGUUGAAGUGGAAUUCCUGGAAAAAUUCCCAGAAAAAAAAUUCCUGGAGAAAAAAUAAAAAUUCCUGGAGAAAAUAUUAAAAAUUGGGAAAGAAAUGUAAAAAAAUUGGGGAAAAAAUGUAAAAAGAAAUUGGGAAAAAUGGGAUUUUUUUGGGAGGGAAUGGAGAAUUGGAGGUGGAAUUCCUGGAAAAAUUCCUGGAAAAAAAUUCCUGGAAAAAAAGUGAAAAAUUCCUGGAGAAAAUACAAAAAAUUGGGAAAGAAAUGUUAAAAAAUUGGGGAAAAAAUGUAAAAAGAAAUUGGGAAAAAUGGGAUUUUUUUGGGAGGGAAUGGAGAAUUGGAGGUGGAAUUCCUGGAAAAAUUCCCAGAAAAAAAAAUUCCUGGAGAAAAAUGAAAAAUUCCUGCAGAAAAUGGAAAAAUCUGGGAAAAAAUGGGAUUUUUAAUGGGUAAAAAUGGGAUUUUUUUGGGAGGGAAUGGAGAAUUGGAGGUGGAAUUCCUGGAAAAAAAAAAUGAAAAAUUUCUGGAGAAAAUGUAAAAUAAUUGGGAAAAAAAAAAGGUAAAAAUUUGGGGGAAAAUUGGGGAAAAAUGUAAAAAUUUGGGGAAAAAAAUGGGAUUUUUUGGGGUAAAAAGGGAGGGAUUGAGGUGGAAUUCCUGGAAAAAAAUUAUUGGGAAAAAUUCAUUUUGCAAAUCAGUUUUAAAGUAAAAAAAACAGGAAAAGAGGCAAAAAAAAUUCCAUAAUUGGGGAUUUUUAAGGGGGAAAAUCAUAAAAAAAGUUCUGUAAAAUUUGCUAAAAAAUCCUAAAAAAUGCCUUUAAAAAUCCUAAAAAUUUCCUGAAAAAAUCCUUUUAAAAACUCUAAAAAUUAUUUUUAAAAGGUUAAAAAAUUCCUUAAAAAUUCCUUUAUAAACCUGCUAAAAUUCCUUGGUAAAAAAAAUCCUUAAAAAAUUUUCAUUUUUUCCCCUAAACAUAGAAAAUUUUCUUUCCUUUUAUUUCCCCUAAAAAUUGAUUUUUUUUUUGCUAAAAAUUUGAAUUUUUUUUCUUUUUUUUCUCACUAAAAAUUAAAAUUUUGUUCCCUUUUAUUUCCCCUAAAAAUUGAAUUUACUUUUACCCUAAAAUUCGAAUUUUUUGCCCCAAAAUUUUUCGCCCUUUUUCCAUUAAAAUUUGAAUUUUUCCUUUUUUUUUUUUUUCAGGAAAAUAUCCAAAUUCUUUUCAAUUCUGGGAAAGUUUAAUUUCAUUUCUGGGAAAAUUCCACCAAAAUCUCCAGGAAUAAAAACUAAAAUUAAUUCCAAAAAUAAAUUAAAUUUAAAAGGGGUUUGGGGGGAAUUUUUUUAUGUUAAAGUUUUUUAUUUUAUUCCUUUUUUUUUCUUUUUUUUUCGGGGGUUUUAUUUUGCUUUUUUGGGGGUUUUUCCCAAUUUUUUCCCAUUUUUCCUUCUCCUCUUUCCCAUUCCCUCGUUGCCCUUUUAGGAUUUCGUGGUUUUGGGAUUUUUUUUUUUUUUUUCCUAGAAAAAAGAAGAAAAAAAAAAUUACAAAAAAAAAAGUGGAAAAAAAAAGAGAAAAAAAAAUCCUUUGGAAUUCUUGGAUGGUGUAAAUAAAGAAAAUAUUAUUCCA